AGAUAUUUUUGCUAAGAGAGCGAUUCAACCUGGUGAAGAAUUAUUUUUUGACUAUAGAUAUGGACCAACGGAACAAUUAAAAUUCGUCGGUAUCGAGCGAGAAAUGGAGUUUCUUUAAUAUAUGUAUAUAUAUUAUAUGGACUUUUACACGUAUAAAUGGUGCAUCAAGCGAAUACAUACAGCUGAAAUAUUAGAAAGGAAAUAAGCACUGCCUGAUUUUGUGAUGAUACUUAACUACUGAGUUUAUUAAGAUUCGAGAGUACAUAUUCAACUCCUGCCCCUAAUCAUGACCCGAUAUAUUAACAAAAGAAAAUUUCGACUCAGUAAUAAGAUAAAAAAGAAAUGUCGGACGCAAAGGAGUGGGGCUAUGCGUGCAUCGCUACGAGAGCGCUGAAGAAGCACAUAGCAGCGAAUG